AUUGAACGCUGGCGGCAUGCUUUACACAUGCAAGUCGAACGGCAGCGCGGGCUUCGGCCUGGCGGCGAGUGGCGGACGGGUGCGUAAUACAUCGGAACGUGACCAGUAGUGGGGGAUAGCUCGACGAAAGCCGGAUUAAUACCGCAUCCGACCUGAGGGUGAAAGCGGGGGAUCUUCGGACCUCGCGCUUUUGGUGCGGCCGAUGGCAGUUUCGCUAGUUGGUGGGGUAAAGGCCUACCAUGGCGACGAUCUGUAGCUGGUCUGGGUGGACGACCACCCACACGGGAACUGGAACACGGCCCAAACUCCAACGGGGGGCAGCGGUGGGGAAUUUUGGACAAGGGGCGAAGGCCGAUUCCGGCAAGGCGGCGGAUGGGAGGAAGGCCUCCGGGUGGUAAAGCACUUUUGGCGGGAACGAAAAGGACUGUGCAAAUACCACGGUUCGAUGACGUUACCCGAAGAAUAAGCACCGGCAAACUACUU
rnacentral:rRNA from 1 species